rnacentral:lncRNA from 1 species
UCCAUAUUCGAAUCGUUAUUACUAUCUUGCGACAAUUGAUUUUACAUACAUAAGUACUUACAGAAAUUUUGUGUUUACAGAUAAAUCAUAAUUACAUUGACUAUGUAAUCACAUAUUCUGAUUUUUAAACAGUUCCAAACCAAAACUGAACCUUAACAAAUUCAUUGAAACUAGUAUUGGUUUCAGUUUAGUUCAAAUAUCUCCUAAACCGGAUAAAAAGUUAAGAAUAGAAAACCAGAUCGAACACCCAAAAUUUUGUUGAGAUAACAUCUUACGGUAUUAUAUGAAUUAACUCUAAGAAGGUGGGGAAGAUAAACAAUUCCUCAUCAUAUGAUAUCUAUUGACGUCAUACAACUAUGCAAGUUGAUAGGAUUUGGCCCUUCAAGGUUCAAGCUUUGAGUUGUCUUCGACGUGAAAACACAAGUCACAAAAUAAAACAGAGCAAGAAUGAUAUGAAGAAGAUAUAAGAACAAAGCAGAAAAGAAAAGGGAGCACACACAAAGAGAUCCAUAAACUCGAGUUCACAUCCAUAAACUCGGGUCGCUACAUCUCGCCAGGAUUUCUUCCCGGAAUCUACUAGAUCAUAGAGUGUACAAAGAGAUCUAUAAACCCUAAAAGCCCUCUUACAAAGGUUUUUCUCUCCCUCUUUCACUCCUUUCCCCAAGAACACUCACCAAGUUUACACUUGAGUUCUCUCUCCUGAUCUCUACAUUGUGUUGUGCUCUACCUCUCUCAUGCCCAAAGCACACUUUAUAUAUUUGACACACCUAGGUCUUAAGACAACUCUCAAAUAACACCAAAGGAGCCUCUUUUAGCCACGCUUAGGUAAACAAGCAUUUAACACAAAU